GCCCACCCCACCCAUGAUCCCGGUCUGUGUUG
rnacentral:scRNA from 1 species